rnacentral:rRNA from 1 species
GAUGAACGCUGGCGGCGUGCCUAAUACAUGCAAGUCGAGCGAACAGAUGAGGAGCUUGUUCCUCUGACGUUAGCGGCGGACGGGUGAGUAACACGUGGAUAAUCUACCUAUAAGACUGGGAUAACUUCGGGAAAGCGGAGCUAAUACCGGAUAAUAUAUUGAACCGCAUGGGUCAAUAGUGAAAGACGGUUUUGCUGUAACUUAUAGAUGGAUCUGCGCCGCAUUAGCUAGUUGGUAAGGUAACGGCUUAUCAAGGCGACGAUGCGUAGCCGACCUGAGAGGGGGGUCGGCGACAUUGGAACUGAGCCACGGACCAGACGCCUACGGGAGGCAGCAGUAGCGAAUGUGCCGCAGUGGGCGAAAGCCUGGCGGAACGGCGCGGCGUGAGUGGUGAAAGUCUUCGGAUCGUGAAGCUCUGUUAUGAGGGGAGAACAAAUGUGUAAGUAACUAUGCACGUCUUGACGGUACCUGGUCAGGAAGCCACGGCUAACUACGUG